GACGUAGGGCGCAAGCGUUGUCCGGAAUUAUUGGGCGUAAAGAGCUCGUAGGCGGCCAGUUGCGUCUGCUGUGAAAUCCCGGGGCUCAACCCCGGGCGUGCAGUGGAUACGGGCUGGCUAGAGGCAGGCAGGGGAGAACGGAAUUCCCGGUGUAGCGGUGAAAUGCGUAGAUAUCAGGAGGAACACCGGUGGUGUAGACGGCUCUCUGGACCGUAACUGACGCUGAGGCACGAAAGCGUGGGUAGCAAACAGG
rnacentral:rRNA from 1 species